CCCCUGUCAGGGUCGCACCUGGAGAGUUUCCAGUACUCUACCAGUUUUGGCUAAUGGAGGGAGAGUCAAGCAGAUGCCUAACCAUUCCAGUCCUAGCUUGGCUGGUGGCUAGCAAGUGGAAGGCAAUUGGCUACAAGU
rfam:Ornithorhynchus anatinus chromosome 1, whole genome shotgun sequence.